rnacentral:lncRNA from 1 species
AGCAUGGGACUGUGGUUACUGCUACACGUCUUGACAUGGAGAGAACAGGGUUUGGAAGUGUCCAGUCCUUCUCCAUUAAGGCUUGUGACUGUAACCGGCGGUGUGCAGCAAUUCUAGUAACUGCCUAUAUCCAUGGCAUUAAUGACAACUCACCUUUCUGUGAUCGGUACCUCAUUAGCAUUCUACAAAGUUGGAAGAGUGAUUGCCAUUGAUGAAGACCACCCACCAAACUGUGUGACAUACAAAAUAGCCAAUGGAGACACCCAGGUUAUACAAAGAUUCUGGAUUCAUCCUCUCUCUGGAAUGAUCGAACUUACCACACAGCCAGACUAUGAGUCUGUGAAGCAAUAUAACCUCACCGUGGAAGCUGUGGACUGUGACAGAUUUCACUCUCAUACAGCAAUGACUAUGCAAAGAAAAGGUCUGACUAUCAUGUACACAGCUAUAAACACGUACAAAUCCAAAGGCUGGUACAUUCCUUUUAUCUUCACUCUGAUGGCUAUUUUCUUUGCUGGGUUGAUUUCCUGGGUAUGUUUCCUGCUUUGGAAAUAUGGGAACAUUAUGGAAUGCUGUCAGAAAACGACUAAGGAAGUCUCCAAUGCCAAACCCAAGUAUGUGAUUUUUUUUUCUAAGCUUUUGAUAUAAAGAGCUAAAACCAGUUGAGGUUUGGUAAACUUACUCUAAGGGCUUCUGUAUGCUUUUGAAGGACAGAGGAAAGUACUCGGUAUACAAAACUUGAUGGUUCCUUUUUACCAAUGAUCUCAAACCUACUCUAUCCCAGAAACAGUUGGGGAGCUUUCUUUGAAAAACAGCAGCAACG